AGGAUCCUACGGGACGCAGCAGUGGGGAAUAUUGCACAAUGGGGGAAACCCUGAUGCAGCGACGCCGCGUGAAGGAAGAAGUAUUUCGGUAUGUAAACUUCUAUCAGCAGGGAAGAAAAUGACGGUACCUGACUAAGAAGCCCCGGCUAACUACGUGCCAGCAGCCGCGGUAAUACGUAGGGGGCCAGCGUUAUCCGGAUUUACUGGGUGUAAAGGGAGCGUAGGCGGUGGUGCAAG
rnacentral:rRNA from 1 species